UUUCUUCAAGGCGGAGUGAAAGUCUCCACCGGCGGUGUUUGAAUUAAUAUUCAUAAGCCCGCAAGCCGUGUGGCAUGAACCGGUGCGAUUCCGGUGCCGACAGUAUAGUCUGGAUGAGAGAAGAG
rnacentral:ncRNA from 1 species